GGCGAUCAGAUACCGCCCUAGUUCUGACCGUAAACGAUGCCAACUAGCGAUCCGCCGAUGGAGAUUAUAUUGCCUUGGUGGGGAGCUUCCCGGAAACGAAAGUCUUCCGGUUCCGGGGGAAGUAUGGUUGCAAAGCUGAAACUUAAAGGAAUUGACGGAAGGGCACCACCAGGAGUGGAGCCUGCGGCUUAAUUUGACUCAACACGGGGAAACUCACCCGGCCCGGACACUGUGAGGAUUGACAGAUUGAUAGCUUUUUCAUGAUUCAGUGGAUGGUGGUGCAUGGCCGUUCUUAGUUCGUGGAGUGAUUUGUCUGGUUUAUUCCGAUAACGAGCGAGACUCUAACCUACUAAAUAGCUGAUACAUGUUUAUGUGUAUUCGGCUUCUUAGAGGGAUUUGCGGUGUUCAGCCGAAAGAAAUUGAGCAAUAACAGGUCUGUGAUGCCCUUAGAUGUCCGGGGCUGCACGCGCGCUACACUGGCAAAAUCAACGUGCUUGUCCUGCCCCGAAAGGGGUGGGUAAACCAUUGAAAAUUUGCCGUGAUUGGGAUCGGAAAUUGCAAUUAUUUUCCGUGAACGAGGAAUUCCAAGUAAGUGCGAGUCAUCAGCUCGCGUUGAUUACGUCCCUGCCCUUUGUA
rnacentral:rRNA from 1 species